rnacentral:rRNA from 1 species
UACAGAGGUCCCGAGCGUUGUUCGGAUUCACUGGGCGUAAAGGGUGCGUAGGUGGUGGGGUAAGUCGGAUGUGAAAUCUCCAAGCUCAACUUGGAAAUGGCAUUGGAAACUGCCCUGCUAGAGGAUCGGAGGGGGGACUGGAAUACUUGGUGUAGCAGUGAAAUGCGUAGAUAUCAAGUGGAACACCAGUGGCGAAGGCGAGUCCCUGGACGAUACCUGACACUGAGGCACGAAAGCUAGGGGAGCAAACAGG